rnacentral:rRNA from 1 species
UACGUAGGGUGCAAGCGUUGUCCGGAAUUAUUGGGCGUAAAGAGCUCGUAGGCGGUUUGUUGCGUCGGCUGUGAAAUCCCGAGGCUCAACCUCGGGUCUGCAGUCGAUACGAGCAAACUAGAGUGUUGCAGGGGAGACUGGAAUUCCUGGUGUAGCGGUGAAAUGCGCAGAUAUCAGGAGGAACACCGGUGGCGAAGGCGGUUCUCUGGGCAUGUCCUGACGCUGAGGAGCGAAAGUGUGGGGAGCAAACAGG